CCUUACCUAAGGCUCUCUUUCGGUGCUCUUGAAAACAUGGGAAAACAGAGCACACAAUUCUCUGCCCUCAACUACACCACCUUGCACUUGAUCUGGAUGCUAUUUUUUUUUAUCAGCCAGAAAUGCUUGGAGAGCCCAUUGCAUCUCUGCGUUUGCUGCACUAUGAAGGUGAACGCAGACCUUGACAUGGAACUAAAUCCCCAAGCACAACCAUGGCCAUAUCAAGCGAAGAGCCUUAAUAGAAUGUUUGGAAAUGUUUUUCUUAUUUUCAUCCUCUAGUGUGCUCAGCAUAGGAGAUUAUGUGACUACGGAAGGAAGGGUAGUAGUACGAGAUCAUGUAUCUAUCAUAUCAAAGGAACUUGGGGUUUAGGAGAAAAUAUCUGAUUACACAGCUUUUGCAAGUUUGGCUUGCUGCAGCAAGUUGUGUAACCAAGGAUAUCAAAGAGCUUGGGGUUUAGGAGAAAAUAUCUGGUUCAGGACUAAUGUCAUCAAGGCCUGAAAUUGGAAACAAGAGUAACACACAGAACAAUGCAGAAAAUGAAGGGUUUGCUGAAAGCCAGGGCAAUGAAUUUAUCCCUGCAGGUUUCCCCGUUGGUCCGUGGGAUGAUUCUGCAAUCAUGUCUGACAAUAUGACAGGUCUGAAGAGAUUUAGAGAUGAAGAUGUGAAACCAUUUUCUGGUUUAAAUGCACCUGAAAGUCAGGUAGAGUACCACUGGACCAAGGUUAGAAGAAAUAAAAUUAGUGGAAGUUGGUCCUAGUGUAGGUAUUGAGGCUGGUGAUCAUAUCUAGGCUUCAAGGUACAUCCUCGAGGUAAUUCAUUUUGACUACUUGAUACAUUGUUAUUCAAGGGGGGAAGGAAAAAAUAAUUACGAAGUGGAUCUCUUCAAUAUAUAUAUAAUAAAAAGUUUUUUUUAACGUAAGAGCCAAAAGGUAUUUUGUUCUUAAUUGCCUUUUUUUUAUAAAAAAAUUUGAACUGCUAGCUAAUAUGUUUUGGCACAUUAAUGGCUUGAACAAGGAUUUUCCUAUGGCUUUAUGGAGUUUGAAGUGGCAAGUGUUGCGCAAAGUGCACUUGAGCUUGUUGUUCUCCAUUGCACUGAAGACCGUGACAGGAUUGGCGAACUGGUGGUCACCUGAGGUACAUUUGACUGGUAGUACGUGGUCUUUGUGGUCAGCUGAGGUACAUUUCACCUGAGGUACAAUCUCGUCGGCAUUGUCGCUGUUGGGUUUGAGGUGAAGCUGAAUUACUUUGUUGUAGUUGAAGUUGGUUUGUCCAUUGGUGUUCUUGUGGAAGCUGUUUCAUUAUAUCAAGUCCAGCCAAAUACAACUAGCAGGUACGUGUUAAAGUCCUUGAAGCUUCAAGCUGACAGAGACUUCAGAAGUUUGUAUAAUCUCACUUGAAGCUGUUAUCAUAUACUACUUUUAAUUGACAUUGUUCUUCAAGGUCUUUCGGGUUAUAGCAACUCCAGUGUAGUUUACAAAAGCAAAGGUGAAAGGAAAGAUAUUGAGCUAGUAGAGGAGGAAGAGCCACAGAUUGGUGCUGAUUGUUCUAGUGCAACCUCUAAUAAAUCUAAGAUUUAUAAGGAGGAAGCAGCGAAUGUAGCACAUAAGCAUAAACUAAAGAGGGUGGAGAGUGUCAAUGCUGAUGCAGAAGCCUUUGGUGAUCACUGGAAAGUUCAGAUUGGUCUAUGCAUUUUGAAGCUGAAGCACUACAACAUAUGAAGAAAAGAGAUACAUGCCAUCAAAGUGUGUCAUUGGAGAAUAAGACAGGAGAUUCAACUGUGCUGAACA